rnacentral:rRNA from 1 species
AUUGAACGCUGGCGGCAUGCCUUACACAUGCAAGUCGAACGGCAGCGCGGACUUCGGUCUGGCGGCGAGUGGCGAACGGGUGAGUAAUACAUCGGAACGUACCCUGUUGUGGGGGAUAACUAGUCGAAAGAUUAGCUAAUACCGCAUACGACCUGAGGGUGAAAGUGGGGGACCGCAAGGCCUCACGCAGCAGGAGCGGCCGAUGUCUGAUUAGCUAGUUGGUGGGGUAAAGGCCCACCAAGGCGACGAUCAGUAGCUGGCCUGAGAGGACGAUCAGCCACACUGGGACUGAGACACGGCCCAGACUCCUACGGGAGGCAGCAGUGGGGAAUUUUGGACAAUGGGGGCAACCCUGAUCCAGCAAUGCCGCGUGUGUGAAGAAGGCCUUCGGGUUGUAAAGCACUUUUGUCCGGAAAGAAAUCGCGCUGGUUAAUACCUGGCGUGGAUGACGGUACCGGAAGAAUAAGCACCGGCUAACUACGUG